AGCGAACGCUGGCGGCAGGCCUAACACAUGCAAGUCGAACGAACUCUUCGGAGUUAGUGGCGGACGGGUGAGUAACACGUGGGAACGUGCCUUUUGGUUCGGAAUAACUCAGGGAAACUUGUGCUAAUACCGAAUGUGCCCUUCGGGGGAAAGAUUUCUCGCCAUUAGAGCGGCCCGCGUCUGAUUAGCUAGUUGGUGAGGUAACGGCUCACCAAGGCUACGAUCAGUAGCUGGUCUGAGAGGAUGACCAGCCACACUGGGACUGAGACACGGCCCAGACUCCUACGGGAGGCAGCAGUAGGGAAUCUUGCGCAAUGGGCGAAAGCCUGACGCCGCCAUGCCGCGUGAAUGAUGAAGGUCUUAGGAUUGUAAAAUUCUUUCACCGGGGACGAUAAUGACGGUACCCGGAGAAGAAGCCCCGGCUAACUUCGUG
rnacentral:rRNA from 1 species